GACGAACGCUGGCGGCAUGCCUAACACAUGCAAGUCUAGGGGUAGCAAUACCACUGGCGCACGGGUGAGUAACACGUAGGUUAUCUGCCCCCAUCACAGACAUAACCCCGGGAAACCGGGGCUAAUAUCUGAUGAGGUCGCGAGAUCAAAGCUUCGGCGGAUGGGGAUGAGCCUGCGGCUGAUUAGCUAGUUGGUGAGGUAAUGGCUCACCAAGGCGACGAUCGGUAGCUGGUCUGAGAGGACGAACAGCCACACUGGAACUGAGACACGGUCCAGACUCCUACGGGAGGCAGCAGUGAGGAAUAUUGGUCAAUGGGAGCAAUCCUGAACCAGCAAUGCCGCGUGUGGGAUGACAGGGCUUCGCCUUGUAAACCACUGUCGGACGGGACGAAAGGAGGCCUCGGGCCUCUGGGACGGUACCGUCAAAGGAAGGGUCGGCUAACUACGUGCCAGCAGCCGCGGUAAU
rnacentral:rRNA from 1 species